UACGUAGGUGGCAAGCGUUGUCCGGAAUUAUUGGGCGUAAAGCGCGCGCAGGUGGUUUCUUAAGUCUGAUGUGAAAGCCCACGGCUCAACCGUGGAGGGUCAUUGGAAACUGGGGAACUUGAGUCCGGAAGAGGAGAGUGGAAUUCCUGGUGUAGCGGUGAAAUGCGCAGAUAUCAGGAAGAACACCCGUGGCGAAAGCGGCUCUCUGGGACGGUACUGACGCUGAGACGCGAAAGCGUGGGGAGCGAACAGG
rnacentral:rRNA from 1 species